rnacentral:rRNA from 1 species
UACGGAGGGUGCAAGCGUUGCUCGGAAUCACUGGGCGUAAAGCGCCCGCAGGCGGCCUGAAAAGUCGGAUGUGAAAGCCCUGGGCUCAACUCAGGAACUGCAUUCGAAACUGGUAGGCUCGAGUACGGGAGAGGGGGGUGGAAUUCCUGGUGUAGGGGUGAAAUUCGUUGAUAUCAGGAGGAACACCGGCGGCGAAGGCGGCCCCCUGGCCCGCAACUGACGCUCAUGGUCGAAAGCGUGGGGAGCAAACAGG